AGUAACGCGUGGUCAACCUACCGUUGAGUGGGGGAUAACUAGCCGAAAGGUUAGCUAAUACCGCAUACGUCUCCGAGUGGCAUCACUCGGCGAUAAAAGGAGCAAUCCGCUCGAUGACGGGACCGCGUCCCAUUAGCUAGAUGGUGGGGUAACGGCCUACCAUGGCACCGAUGGGUAGCUGGUUUGAGAGAGCGACCAGCCACACUGGGACUGAGAAACGGCCCAG
rnacentral:rRNA from 1 species